rnacentral:rRNA from 1 species
UACAGAGGGGGCAAGCGUUGUUCGGAAUUACUGGGCGUAAAGGGCGCGUAGGCGGCCUUCUAAGUCGAACGUGAAAUCCCCGGGCUCAACCCGGGAACUGCGUCCGAUACUGGGAGGCUUGAAUCCGGGAGAGGGAUGUGGAAUUCCAGGUGUAGCGGUGAAAUGCGUAGAUAUCUGGAGGAACACCGGUGGCGAAGGCGGCGAUCCUGGACCAACACUGACACUGAGGAGCGAAAGCCAGGGGAGCAAACGGG